AGCAAGUAGAGUACAGUGUACCUGAGCAGGUAGUGUACAGUGUACCUGAGCAGGUAGUGCACAGUGUACCUGAGCAGGUAGUAUACAGUGUACCUGAGCAGGUAGUGUACAGUGUACCUGAGCAGGUAGUGUACAGUGUACCUGAGCAGGUAGUGUACAGUGUAUCUGAGCAGUUCAUUACCUGAGCAGGUAGUAUGCGGUGCCUUAAUGAGUACUUAAUGAGUACUUUCAUUAUUUAUACCA